UACGUAGGGUGCGAGCGUUGUCCGGAAUUAUUGGGCGUAAAGAGCUCGUAGGCGGUGUGUCGCGUCGGCCGUGAAAACCUGGGGCUUAACUCUGGGCGUGCGGUCGAUACGGGCAUCACUAGAGUUCGGCAGGGGAGACUGGAAUUCCUGGUGUAGCGGUGAAAUGCGCAGAUAUCAGGAGGAACACCGAUGGCGAAGGCAGGUCUCUGGGCCACUACUGACGCUGAGAAGCGAAAAGCAUGGGGGAGCGAACAGG
rnacentral:rRNA from 1 species